GCUAACUAUGUGCCAGCAGCCGCGGUAAUACGUAGGGUGCGAGCGUUGUCCGGAAUUACUGGGCGUAAAGAGCUCGUAGGCGGUUUGUCACGUCGUCUGUGAAAUCCUAGGGCUUAACCCUGGACGUGCAGGCGAUACGGGCUGACUUGAGUACUACAGGGGAGACUGGAAUUUCUGGUGUAGCGGUGGAAUGCACAGAUAUCAGGAAGAACACCGAUGGCGAAGGCAGGUCUCUGGGUAGUAACUGACGCUGAGGAGCGAAAGCAUGGGUAGCGAACAGGAUUAGAUACCCUGGUAGUC
rnacentral:rRNA from 1 species